AAGACUUCUGCCUCAAGGAUCUGGGUGUCAGAGGAGUCCAGAGUGGGACGAAAAGGGAAGCAGGCAAGAACAUCAAAGUCCAACGGCAAGGGACUCAGGACCACCUAACCUAGUUGGUCACACCCAUUGGACAGGACACAUAAAGCCAGUUUCCUAGUGCGGUUUUACUAACCAAGACUUUGACUGGAGUGUCAUGUCUGAGAGACAUGGCUGGCUCUGGAUGUCACCAGGAAGCUGUAAGGAAUGAAGAUGGACUUUGAAGCCAAAAAAGCCCCUGGAGACAUGGCCUGGUACCUUGCGUGGCCAAGUGGUUCAUGUCAGUGUUUCCAGGUAGAGAACUUUCCUGAGCGAUGGUGAGAAGGAACCUCAGCAUCUGUGGGAACCUCAAAGACUUGAGAACACAGCCCAAAU